AGGAUAAACGCUGGCGGCGUGCAUGAGACAUGCAAGUCGAACGGACUUCUCGGGCUUGCUCGAGAAGUUAGUGGCGGACGGCUGAGUAACGCGUAGGUGACCUACCCCGAAGUGGGGAAUAACUGCCCGAAAGGGUGGCUAAUACCGCAUGUGAUCGUUCAUUCGAUUGAUCGAUCAAAGCAGUAAUGCGCUUCGGGAGGGGCCUGCGUCCGAUUAGCUCGUUGGUGGGGUAAUGGCUUACCAAGGCGACGAUCGGUAGGUGGUCUGAGAGGACGAUCACCCAGACUGGGACUGAGACACGGCCCAGACUCCUACGGGAGGCAGCAGUCGGGAAUUUUGCGCAAUGGACGAAAGUCUGACGCAGCAACGCCGCGUGAGGGAUGAAGGCCUUCGGGUUGUAAACCUCUUUUAUCAGGGAAGAUAAUGACGGUACCUGAUGAAUAAGUCACGGCUAACUACGUGCCAGCAGCCGC
rnacentral:rRNA from 1 species